rnacentral:rRNA from 1 species
UGCCUGGCGGCGAUAGCGCGGUGGUCCCACCUGACCCCAUGCCGAACUCAGAAGUGAAACGCCGUAGCGCCGAUGGUAGUGUGGGGUCUCCCCAUGCGAGAGUAGGGAACUGCCAGGCUC